UCACUAAAGUAAACGCCCUCCGGGGCUCUCUUUAUUCACACACCCCUGUGCACUUUGGCCACCUGCCGCGCUUCACUGCGUUAGUAGGUGUGUCUUUAUAAUUAUACCCAUAUACACAAGUCAUUGAAUGUAAAAUCGUUAUAAACUAAUAUAACUUUCAACAACGGAUCUCUUGGUUCUCGCAUCGAUGAAGAACGCAGCGAAUUGCGAUAAGUAAUGUGAAUUGCAGAAUUCAGUGAAUCAUCGAAUCUUUGAACGCAUCUUGCGCUCUUUGGUAUUCCGAAGAGCAUGCCUGUUUGAGUGUCAUGAAACUCUCACCUCCAGCCUUCUUUAAUUAGAGGUGUUGGGGCGUGGACGUGAGUGCUGCUGGUGCCCUGGUUGCAUCGGCUCACUUGAAAUAUGUUAGCUGACUCCUCUAGAGGUGGUUCUACUCGACGUGAUAAGAUCUCCGUCGAGGACAGUGCAACUUGUUGUGCUGGCCGCUCCUAGCAGUUGACGUCGCUUCUAAUUAGCGCA
rnacentral:rRNA from 1 species